GACGUAGGUGGCGAACGUUAUCCGGAAUCAUUGGGCGUAAAGGGUGCGUAGGCGGCAUGAUAAGUUAUUGGCGGCAAAUCGAGGCUCAACCUCGUGGAAACUGAUAAUACUGUCUUGCUUGAGUGCAGAAGAGGUUAACGGAACUCCAUGUGGAGCGGUAAAAUGUGUAGAUAUAUGGAAGAACAUCAAUAACGGCGAAGGCAGUUAACUAUUCUGUUACUGACGUUGAGGCACGAAAGCGUGGGGAGCAAAAAGG
rnacentral:rRNA from 1 species